CCUGCCUGUAAGACUGGGAUAACUCCGGGAAACCGGGGCUAAUACCGGAUAACAUCUUCCUCUGCAUAGAGGAGGAUUAAAAGAUGGCUUCGGCUAUCACUUACACAUGGGCCCGCGGCGCAGUAGCUAUUUGGUGGGGUAAGAGCCUACCAAGGCGACGAUGCGUAGCCGACCUGACAGGGUGAUCGGCCACACUGGGACUGACACACAGCCCAGACUCCUACGGGAGGCAGCGCUAGGGAAUCUUCGGCAAUGGACGAAAGUCUGACCGAGCAACGCCCCGUGAGUGAGGAAGGCCUUCCGGUCGUAAAGCUCUGUUGUUAGGGAAGAACAAGUACCGUUCAAACAGGGCGGUACCUUGACGGUACCUAACCAGAAAGCCACGGCUAACUACGUGCCAGCAGCCGCGGUAAUACUUAGGUGGCAAGCGUUGUCCGGAAUUAUUGGGCGUAAAGCGCGCGCACGCGGUCUCUUAAGUCUGAUGUGAAAGCCCACGGCUCAACCGUGGAGGGUCAUUGUAAACUGGGGGACUUGAGUACUGGAGACGAGAGUGGAAUUCCAUGUGUAGCGGUGAAAUGCGUAGAUAUAUGGAGGAACACCAGUGGCGAAAGGCGGCUCUCUGGCCAGUAACUGACGCUGAGGCGCGAAAGCGUGGGCGAGCAAACAGGAUUAGAUACCCUGGUAGUCCACGCCCUAAACGAUGAGUGCUAGGUGUUGGGGGGUUCCACCCUCACUGCUGACGUUAACACAUUAAGCACUCCGCCUGGGGAGUACGCACCGCGACGUUGAAACUCAAAGGAAUUGACGGGGGGCCCGCACAAGCAGUGGAGCAUGUUGGUUUAAUUCUGAGCCACGCGAAAAACCCUUACAGGUCGUGACAUUCCUUUCGCCACUUCCAGAGAUGGGAAGCUUCCCCUUCGGCGCGAACCAGGUGACAGGGUGGUGCAUGGUUUGUCGCUCACCUCGNGGUCCUGNCAUG
rnacentral:rRNA from 1 species